rnacentral:rRNA from 1 species
UACGUAGGGGGCAAGCGUUGUCCGGAAUCAUUGGGCGUAAAGAGCGUGUAGGCGGUCCGGUAAGUCCGCUGUGAAAGUCGGGGGCUCAACCCUCGAAUGCCGGUGGAUACUGUCGGGCUAGAGUGCGGAAGAGGCGAGUGGAAUUUCCGGUGUAGCGGUGAAAUGCGUAGAUAUCGGAAGGAACACCAGUGGCGAAAGCGGCUUCCUGGUCCAGCACCGACGUUCAGGCACGAAAGCGUGGGGAGCAAACAGG